GAUGAACGCUGGCGGCGUGCCUAAUACAUGCAAGUCGAGCGAACAGACGAGGAGCUUGCUCCUCUGACGUUAGCGGCGGACGGGUGAGUAACACGUGGAUAACCUACCUAUAAGACUGGGAUAACUUCGGGAAACCGGAGCUAAUACCGGAUAAUAUAUUGAACCGCAUGGUUCAAUAGUGAAAGACGGUUUUGCUGUCACUUAUAGAUGGAUCCGCGCCGCAUUAGCUAGUUGGUAAGGUAACGGCUUACCAAGGCAACGAUGCGUAGCCGACCUGGGAGCGUGAUCGGCCACGCGGGAACUGAGACACGGACCAGACUCCUACGGGAGGCAGCAGUAGGGAAUCUUCCGCGAUAGGCGAAAGCUUGACGGAACAACGGAGCGUGAGUGGUCAAGGUGUUCGGGAAGUACAACGGUGUGAUUAGGGAAGAACAAAUGUGGAAGUAACUAUGCACGUCUUGACGGGACCUGAUCAAAAAGCGACGGCUAACUACGUG
rnacentral:rRNA from 1 species